rnacentral:rRNA from 1 species
AUGGCUCGCGUCGUCGGCGUGCCGCCGCUCCUCCUCCUCCUCCUCCUCGCAUUAUCUUCUGUGGCCUUUGCCGACGUGGUGCUCGGCCGCAAGGGCGGUACAGUGGAGGGUGCGGAUGUGCAGUUGCCGGGGGUGAGCAAGUACGCUGUGAUCUUCGACGCCGGGAGCACGGGCACGCGUGUGCACGUCUUCAAGUUUGACAACAAGAUGGAACUCCUUAAGAUCGAUGACCAGGUUGAGGUGUUUGCCAAGGUGUCCCCCGGGCUGAGCUCCUACUCUGGGCGGCCACUGGAAGCUGCCAAGUCCAUGAUACCACUGCUCGACAAGGCAAAGAGCAUCGUGCCUUGGUGGCAAAUGAACAGAACUCCCCUUAAACUUGGAGCCACGGCUGGGCUGAGACUUAUCGGAGAUAAGCAAUCGGAGCAGAUCCUUGAAGCGACGCUGCUCAAGAAGUUGGCAAUCACUUUCUCCACGAUGACGAUCUUCACGGGGAUCACGUUGUUGUACGGUAGCAUCCUCCAAUACGUCGGGUUGGCCAACCUCGUGUGGGGCUGGGUCAUCGUCUCCUUCUUCACCUGGUUCAUCGGCAUGGCCAUUUCGGGGAUUUCUCCUUCCCUGUAA